CAGUAGCCACGGUAAUACGGGGGGGGCUAGCGUUGUUCGGAAUUACUGGGCGUAAAGCGCACGUAGGCGGCUUGGUAAGUUAGAGGUGAAAGCCUGGAGCUCAACUCCAGAAUUGCCUUUAAGACUGCCGAGCUAGCAGGUGAGAGAGGUAAGUGGAAUUCCGAGUGUAGAGGUGAAAUUCGUAGAUAUUCGGAAGAACACCAGUGGCGAAGGCGGCUUACUGGCUCAUACUGGACGCUGAGGUGCGAAAGCGUGGGGAGCAAACAGGAUUAGAUACCCCCGUAGUCCCUGUCUCUUAUAC
rnacentral:rRNA from 1 species